rnacentral:rRNA from 1 species
AUUGAACGCUGGCGGCAGGCCUAACACAUGCAAGUCGAGCGGAUGAAGGGAGCUUGCUCCUGGAUUCAGCGGCGGACGGGCGAGUAAUGCCUAGGAAUCUGCCUGGUAUUGGGGGAUAACGUCCGGAAACGGGCGCUAAUACCGCAUACGACCUGAGGUUGAAAGUGGGGGAUCUUCGGACCUCACGCGAUCAGAUGAGCCUAGGUCGGAUUAGCUAGUUGGUAGGGUAAAGGCCUACCAAGGCGACGAUCCGUAGCUGGUCUGAGAGGAUGAUCAGUCACACUGGAACUGAGACACGGUCCAGACUCCUACGGGAGGCAGCAGUGGGGAAUCUUGCACAAUGGGCGAAAGCCUGAUCCAGCCAUGCCGCGUGUGUGAAGAAGGUCUUCGGAUUGUAAAGCACUUUAAGUUGGGAGGAAGGGCAGUAAGUUAAUACCUUGCUGUUUUGACGUUACCAACAGAAUAAGCCCCGGCUAACUUCGUG